UUCCGGACCGAGUUUUGCAGGCCGGAAGGGGGGUGAGCCGGUCCGGUGGGCGGACCGGUAUUGUUUGUGUUUACCAAAAUCUAUGAAGGAUUUUGGGACUACCGGAGCCGUCUCCGGCUUGCAUGAUGUUGGUGGAUGAAGGCAGAUAUAUUUCUAGCAGCCUCAGCCAUCCUUGAACUGAUUUCAUCAUUCUAAUUUUCUUUCUUUCUUUCUUUCUUUUUGCUUAUGAUAUGUAAAUAUCCAAGUAUAUUACGAUGUUUCUUGAACCGGCUUAUUAUUGGAUAUGAGAUAGCUUUUUGUAGUGUAAUUUUGGUUGGCUUGAAGAAAUUGAAUGGCUAGCUAUGCCGGUAUAUGAAGCAAACUCUUACAAGCUUUUUAUUUACCAUAAUUAUAGGAAGAAAAAAAUAGGGAUCAACUAAAGAAAGUCUAAAUCUCAAGUUGAAAAAAUCCUUAAAAAAAUUAACAGAUAAAGAAUCA
rnacentral:lncRNA from 1 species